UUUUUUGAAAUGGGUUCUAUUCCCAAACCGUGUAUACAUACCUUUGUUGCUUUGGCAGGCCGCCUUUUAGGCGUCGGCUCCGGCUGACUGCGCCUGCCAGAGGACCCAAACUCGUUUGUUUAGUGAUGUCUGAGUACUAUAUAAUAGUUAAAACUUUCAACAACGGAUCUCUUGGUUCUGGCAUCGAUGAAGAACGCAGCGAAAUGCGAUAAGUAAUGUGAAUUGCAGAAUUCAGUGAAUCAUCGAAUCUUUGAACGCACAUUGCGCCCCUUGGUAUUCCGAGGGGCAUGCCUGUUCGAGCGUCAUUAUAACCACUCAAGCCUCGGCUUGGUCUUGGGGUUCGCGGUUUCGCGGCCCUUAAAAUCAGUGGCGGUGCCGUCUGGCUCUAAGCGUAGUAAUUCUCUCGCUAUAGGGUCCAGGUGACCACCUGCCAUAACCCCCCAUUCUUUACGGUUGACCUCGGAUCAGGUAGGGAUACCCGCUGAACUUAAGCAUAUCAAUAAGCGGAGGAAAAGAAACCAACAGGGAUUGCCUCAGUAACGGCGAGUGAAGCGGCAACAGCUCAAAUUUGAAAUCUGGCUCUUUCAGGGUCCGAGUUGUAAUUUGUAGAAGAUGCUUUGGGUGUGGCUCCGGUCUAAGUUCCUUGGAACAGGAC
rnacentral:rRNA from 1 species